rnacentral:miRNA from 1 species
UUCAGAUGUUGCUGAACUAAAACUCCCAUGAUUCUAUGAAUGAAAUAGGCUGAGAAUCAUGGGAGUUUUAGUUCAGCAACAUCUGGAGGGUCGG